AUUACCCAAUACGGACACCGGGAGGUAGUGACAAGAAAUAACAAUACAGGGCGAAUGUCUUGUAAUUGGAAUGAUGGUGACCCAAACCCUCACCAGAGUAGCAAUUGGAGGGCAAGUCUGGUGCCAGCAGCCGCGGUAAUUCCAGCUCCAAUAGCGUAUAUUAAACUUGUUGCAGUUAAAAAGCUCGUAGUUGUAUUUUUGCGUUAGCGGUUUGACCAUUUGGUUGGUUAUUUCGUUUUCGCUUUUGGGAAUUUCCCUUUUUACUUUGAGAAAAUUAGAGUGUUUCAAGCAGACUUUUGCCUUGAAUACUUCAGCAUGGAAUAAUAGAGUAGGACUUUGGUUCUAUUUUGUUGGUUAUUGAACCUUAGUAAUGGUUAAUAGGAACGGUUGGGGGCAUUCGUAUUUAA
rnacentral:rRNA from 1 species